GGAUGAACCUAGAGUCUGUCACGCAGAGUGAAGUAAGUCAGAAAGAGAAAAACAAAUACUGUAUGCUAACACAUAUAUAUGGAAUCUAAGAAAAAAAAAAAGCAUGGACUUGAGGAUAUGGGGAGGGGGAAGGGUAAGCUGUGACAAAGUGAGAGAGUGGCAUGGACAUAUAUACACUACCAAA